UUCGGGGUGCAGCAGGCGCGAAAACUUUACAAUGCCGGCAACGGCGAUAAGGGGACCUCGAGUGCCAGGUUACAAAUCUGGCUGUCGUGAUGCCUAAAAAGCAUUGCAUAGCAAGGGCCGGGCAAGACCGGUGCCAGCCGCCGCGGUAACACCGGCGGCUCGAGUGGUAACCGUUAUUAUUGGGUCUAAAGGGUCUGUAGCCGGCCGGAUAAGUCUCUUGGGAAAUCCAGCAGCUCAACUGUUGGGCUUUCAGGAGAUACUGUCUGGCUCGAGGCCGGGAGAGGUGAGAGGUACUUCAGGGGUAGGGGUGAAAUCUUGUAAUCCUUGAAGGACCACCAGUGGCGAAGGCGUCUCACCAGAACGGACCUGACGGCAAGGGACGAAAGCUAGGGGCACGAACCGGAUUAGAUACCCGGGUAGUCCUAGCCGUAAACGAUACUCGCUAGGUGUCGGCCACGGUGCGACCGUUGUCGGUGCCGUAGGGAAGCCGUGAAGCGAGCCACCUGGGAAGUACGGCCGCAAGGCUGAAACUUAAAGGAAUUGGCGGGGGAGCAC
rnacentral:rRNA from 1 species